CAUAUACAUGUUAAGGUAAGACCCAUCCUUCAUAUAUAUGUUAAGGUAAGACCCAGCCUUCAUAUAUAUGUUAAGGUAAGACCCAUCCUUCAUAUAUAUGUUAAGGUAAGACCCAUCCUUCAUAUAUAUGUUAAGGUAAGACCCAUC